rnacentral:rRNA from 1 species
AGAGCGAACGCUGGCGGCAGGCCUAACACAUGCAAGUCGAGCGCCCCGCAAGGGGAGCGGCAGACGGGAGAGUAACACGUGGGAACGUACCCUUUGGUUCGGAACAACACAGGGAAACUUGUGCUAAUACCGGAUAAGCCCUUACGGGGAAAGAUUUAUCGCCGAAAGAUUGGCCCGCGUCUGAUUAGCUAGUUGGUGAGGUAACGGCUCACCAAGGCGACGAUCAGUAGCUGGUCUGAGAGGAUGAUCAGCCACAUUGGGACUGAGACACGGCCCAAACUCCUACGGGAGGCAGCAGUGGGGAAUAUUGGACAAUGGGCGCAAGCCUGAUCCAGCCAUGCCGCGUGAGUGAUGAAGGCCCUAGGGUUGUAAAGCUCUUUUGUGCGGGAAGAUAAUGACGGUACCGCAAGAAUAAGCCCGGCUAACUUCGUGCCAGCAGCCGC